ensembl:lncRNA
UAGUAAGGAUCCUACCAGGGAUUAUUUAUGUAUUAUGUUGGUAGAAUGUUGAAGUUGGGAUAGUAGUAAGGAUCCUACCAGGGAUUAUUUAUGUAUGAUGUUGGUAGAAUGUUGAAGUUGGGAUAGUAGUAAAAGGCCGGUGUGUAAAUGACUAAGAUUCAAGCCUCCCAUGAAUUAGGGAGCUUUGUUUCAUUAUUGUGUGUUUAUCUGUAUGUUCCUUCCUGUAGUUGGCCAUCUGGGAGGAUUCUGUAUGGAGGAAUGGUCUAAGAUCACCCCAAUGUGUUCUCCGACUCAUAAAACAUUUAAGAAAAAGUCUUAGUGCUGUUAUCCAUGCAAGGUGGAGGCAGGUAGUCUAGUGGUUAGAGUGUAGGGGCGGCAGGUAGCCUAGUGGUUAGAGUGUAGGGGCGUCAGGUAGCCUAGUGGUUAGAGUGUAGGGGCGGCAAGUAGUCUAGUGGUUAGAUUGUAGGGGCGGCAGGUAGCCUAGUGGUUAGAGUGUAGGGGCGGCAGGUAGUCUAGUGGUUAGAGUGUAGGGGCGGCAGGUAGCCUAGUGGUUAGAGUGUAGGGGCGGCAGGUAGCCUAGUGGUUAGAGCGUUGGGCCAGUAACCGAAAGGUUGCAAGAUCGAAUGCCUGAGCUGACAAGGAAAGAACCUGUCGUUCUGCCCCUGAACAAGGCAGUUAACCCACUGUUCCUAGACCAGUUAACCCCCUGUUCCUAGACCAGUUAACCCCCUGUUCCUAGACCAGUUAACCCACUGUCCUAGACCAGUUAACCCACUGUUCCUAGACCAGUUAACCCACUGUUCCUAGACCAGUUAAUCCACUGUUCCUAGACCAGUUAACCCCCUGUUCCUAGACCAGUUAACCCACUGUUCCUAGGCUGUCAUUAAAAAUAAGAAUUUGUUCUUAACUGACUUGCCUAGUUAAAUAAAUGGGGGGAAAAGAUGACCUUUUUGAGAAAAUAAUUAUUACUUUCUUAAACAAAAUCUCUUUCUCUGAGCAAUUGUUUUUGCUUAAAAUCAUUUAAUUUUCCCAUUUUGUUUGAGCAUGCAAUAUAUUUCAGUCUUUGAAUCAUGUAUUUUAUACAGUCAUUUUUGCUACUCUUUAUCAAGGGUGUCAAU